rnacentral:lncRNA from 1 species
GUUCCCAGGAGUCUUUGGCCUGUAGAGCAGAGAUGGGGUGCUCAGAGGGGCAAGAGGCCAUCAAUCGUGCAACAGAAGUACAGGAAGAUAAUGGGUAAUAACAGCCUUGCAGCAUAGACUCCUCUCUAACAAAGGUGAACUCCAGAGCUUGACCCCACCAACCAGCAUCUGUAUUUCCUUUUCAGAUAAAUACAGAACUUCUGAAAAUCAAUUCAUAAGCCAAGAAAAGGAGGAGACCUCUCUUCAUGAUUAAAAUGCCAAGUGGGGAAGACGGACAGUUAAAGGAAUAGGGCAAAUGUUAGGGGGAAGAUUAUCAGAAAAGAGACCGGUAGCGAGGCAGAAGCAAUGCUAGCUUCUACCUGUUCUGGUAUGUUCUGUGCAUCAAUGAGCAGGGUUUUUGCAAACAUUUUCAUCUUUUGUGUCAGUUGCAAGGUCUGAGACUGGUGGUAAGCAGGUCUUCUCAGAAGUCCAUGGUGACAAGCAUCUCCAGGGAUGACCUUAAAGAAGCAACUUGUCACAAGUUCAGAAGGCCAUGUACCAGAAAUGGCAGAUAUCAUGACAUUGUUGAAAUUAAGAAGCAAAGAGCUUGGCAGACAACCUUAUACAUCAGGAAACUGAAGCUGUGACCAAAACCUUGACUUCUCCUUGAUUUCAGUAGAGGAUAUAGCCUACCUGUGCCUAUACUCUCAAUCUAUAUCAGAUAAAAGUGCUGAGUCUGUUUCAGAUUACAUUUGAGGUCACUAAUUACAGAGAAGCAGAAAAGCAAUGUGCAGGAUAAAGGGAAAAGCUGUGCAGAGCCGCUAGAAUGG